AUACCUUUCUCGGCCUUUUGGCUAAGAUCAAGUGUAGUAUCUGUUCUUAUCAGUUUAAUAUCUGAUAUGUGGGUCAUCGAUCUACUAUGAUAUUAAAUUAAUUUAUUGUGGGGGAGGGCCCAUCAUAGUGGCUUGCCAUUGGGGACCUCGCGCGUUGCUUGUGCGUUGCACUACAGCAUUGACCUGGCGCACCCGGA
rfam:Musa acuminata subsp. malaccensis Doubled-haploid Pahang (DH-Pahang) genomic chromosome, chr4